AUUAAAACAACAAAUAACCAGGUGCUCCGCAGGGCGCAGCUUUAUACGACCGCAGAGGUCGAUCCCUGAACAGUUGGGGCAGGUAUGGACAAAACAUUUAAGCGUGAUACAGCUCUGAAUUUGGAUUGUGAUCAAAUUUUUGACAUUAUAUGGUUUUUUUACACAAAACAAAUGUCAAGAUUUUACAAAUCAAUUAAAGAUUUCUUCUUCAAACUUAUUUAAAUCUAAAAUUAAAUAGUUGACACAGCAUAGGUUUCUGACACAGAAUGAAUGUG
rnacentral:lncRNA from 1 species